rnacentral:rRNA from 1 species
AGUGAACGCUGGCGGUAGGCCUAACACAUGCAAGUCGAACGGCAGCACAGGAGAGCUUGCUCUCUGGGUGGCGAGUGGCGGACGGGUGAGGAAUACAUCGGAAUCUACUUUUUCGUGGGGGAUAACGUAGGGAAACUUACGCUAAUACCGCAUACGACCUACGGGUGAAAGCAGGGGACCUUCGGGCCUUGCGCGAUUGAAUGAGCCGAUGUCGGAUUAGCUAGUUGGCGGGGUAAAGGCCCACCAAGGCGACGAUCCGUAGCUGGUCUGAGGGGAUGGUCAGCCACACGGGAACUGAGACACGGUCCAGACUCCUACGGGAGGCAGCAGUGGGGAAUAUUGGACAAUGGGCGCAAGCCUGAUCCAGCCAUACCGCGUGGGUGAAGAAGGCCUUCGGGUUGUAAAGCCCUUUUGUUGGGAAAGAAAUCCAGCUGGCUAAUACCCGGUUGGGAUGACGGUACCCAAAGAAUAAGCACCGGCUAACUUCGUGCCAGCAGCCGCCGUAA